rnacentral:lncRNA from 1 species
UCUUUGGCUUCUAUUUCAACCUUCAACUGUCUUAUCUGAAUAUCUCCAUCUGCUCUAACCUCCCUCAUAACUCGGCUAACUCUAUCUGUGCUUACAAUAUUCACACAUAUCAUCAAAUUCUACCCAAUACGCCUCUCACAAGAGUAAAAGUUUUCAAAUUAUGCUGAGGGGUCAUAUAGACCAUGAACACAUAGUUUUAACGGUAUUCAUACCGCAAAACAAAACAUUACCUGGUAUGCUUACAAUCACAAAGAAGGUAAACUACCAUUAAUAGUACUUUAGGUGAUUAGCCUAUUGUACCCCUACGUCAUGCAUAACGUAUUAAUCAUGCCUAGCGAA